GAAGCACGCCAGACCGCCGCUGGUGCAAGCGCCGAAAGGCCGCACUGGAGGAACGUCCGGACUGCACAGGGCAGCGUAGCAGCUAACGGCUGUCCACCGUGAGGUGAGGAUCAGAGCAACAGAGACGAGUCCGAGUGGGUGCCGCCACGAGGUGUUCUGUGAGGCGCCAGCGCAAGCUGGCGAGAGGACAGCGAAAGCUGUCCGAACCCGGCGCAAGCCGGGUCCGAACAGCCACCCCGAGCGGGCAACGCCCGCUCGGGGUGAAACGGGCAAUCUCUACGCGCAGCAACACCAAGUAGGCACACGUUGACGGGGCCCCCGGAGUGUGCGGGUAGGUGGCAUCGAGCCGGGUGGGCGACCCCCGGCCCAGAGUAAUGGCGGUCACGCCCGGGCAACCGGGUGCACAGAAUCCGGCUUAUCGGCGCGCUUCACAC
rnacentral:RNase_P_RNA from 1 species